rnacentral:rRNA from 1 species
UGGGGGAAUCUUCCGCAAUGGGCGAAAGCCUGACGGAGCAACGCCGCGUGAGUGAUGACGGCCUUCGGGUUGUAAAGCUCUGUGAUCGGGGACGAACGGUCAGCAGACGAAUACUCUGCUGAAGUGACGGUACCCGAAUAGCAAGCCACGGCUAACUACGUGCCAGCAGCCGCGGUAAUACGUAGGUGGCAAGCGUUGUCCGGAAUUAUUGGGCGUAAAGCGCGCGCAGGCGGCUUCUUAAGUCCAUCUUAAAAGUGCGGGGCUUAACCCCGUGAU